GCAAAAUCUUGUCUGCUGUGGCAUACGGGGUCGUGGCAGGAGGCUUAAAAAUAUCCUGAAGUUUUGGAUCGGAAAAUUAAGACUUCCAGGGAAUGAAGCAUCUGUUGCCAAUUAGGCUCAUCAGCACUCUACCAUGGAGUCCCCGCUGAUCCACUCACUCUUGUUAGUGGAUCAGCAGGGGCAUAUGGCUGCUUGGGAUGGGAUUUUAACCUCCACCCUGCCAGGGUCCAUGCAGGAACCAUUCAUCCCACCGCAGUGAUCUCUGAGACUAAGUACAUAUGCGCAUCAAGGUUCUGAUGCCAUGGUAACCAGUGGGUAAGGAAGUCAUUAAGAACACAGAGUAGUACUUGGAACUUCUGCACAUUUUCAUGGCUGCCAGCUGAGAGAUGCAAAUACUGUUUUCUAAACACCACCUACAGCUACUAGGAGUCAACAGGAAUAUAGUAUUUAAUCAGGAAGUAGUAUUUCGGAUCAAGACAGAAAAUACCAUUUUGUUUGCACUUUUAUGAAUAUUUGAGAAGAAACCUUUUGCUAUGUAUUUUGAUUUUUGUUACAUCUCCUCUAUACAACAUUUAAACAUUCUCAUAUAUUAAUAUUUAGGUUUGCAUGUUAUGGGAUAAAUAUCUUUCUAAUUUCUCAACGCUCUGUGGUUCAUAUAUCAUAUGAUAGAUAGUACAUACAUUUGUAAAGUCCACAUAACUUUUUUCAAUUCAAUUCUAGAUUAUCUAACUAGUUUAUGAACAUGUGAAUAUAUACAUAUUUUAGUUGACAUAAAAGGGAGUAUAAAAUUGACUAAAUCUUAUCCAGUCACAUUGUGACAACGCUAUAAUUACUAUGAGCAUUUUCAUUGUAAUAACUUUUUUAAAUUAUCUUUUUUCUGUAUAUUUCUGUCUUUGACAUUCAGAGUGAGUUACAAACUUGAUCUGGAUUAUAACAUGGUAUGUGCUUACAAUGAUCAUCCAAAUGAAUACUAAACAUCUAUCUGUUUGCAUAGAUAUGUGUAUCUGUACAUGUGUAUAUAUAUUCAUUUAAACUAUUAUUUGGGUUGAAUACAGUUACAUAUAAGACUGAUUUAAUAUAAUAUCUUAACAAAAUAUAAGAGCUUUUGAAAAGAGAAAA
rnacentral:lncRNA from 1 species